rnacentral:rRNA from 1 species
GACGAACGCUGGCGGCGUGCUUAACACAUGCAAGUCGAGCGGUAAGGCCCUUUCGGGGGUACGACGAGCGGCGAACGGGUGAGUAACACGUGGGUGACCCGCCCUCAGCUCUGGGAUAAGCCUGGGAAACCGGGUCUAAUACUGGAUAUGACUCCAUGACGCAUGUUGUGGGGUGGAAAGCCUUGUGCGGCUGAGGAUGGGCCCGCGGCCUAUCAGCUUGUUGGUGGGGUGAGGCCUACCAAGGCAACGACGGGUAGCCGGCCUGAGAGGGCGACCGGCCACACUGGGACUGAGACACGGCCCAGACUCCUACGGGAGGCAGCAGUGGGGAAUCUUGCGCAAUGGGCGAAAGCCUGACGCAGCGACGCCGCGUGAGGGAUGACGGCCU